GGAUAUCUCCCCUCCCCCGCUCCCUCUGUCUCCCUCUCUCCCUCCCCUCUCCCCUCUCCCAUGAGAGGACACAGCCAGAAGGAGACCGUCUGCAAGCCAAGGAGAGAAGCCUCACCAGCCAUGGAAUCUAUAGGCACCUUGAUGUUGGACUUCCAGCCUCCAGAGCUAUGGAAGCCAACCGUCGGGAGCACACACACCACAUUACAAGGAUCCCAGCCAGGCCCAGGAGGGGAAGCAAGGACACCCUAGAGGCAGAGAGAACUGGCAGCCAUGUAAGACAUGCCUGUGCCUGCUUCCCCUUUGCCUUCUGCCAUGACUGAAAGUUUCCUAAGGCCUCCUCAGAAGCCGAGCAGAUGCCAGCAUCAUGCUUCCUCUAAAGCCUGUGGAACCAUGAGCCAAGAUUUACAGUACUAUGUUGAAUAGAAGUGGUGAGAGAGGGCAUUCUUGUCUUGUUCCAGUUCUCCAGAGGAAUGCUUUCGACUUUCCCCCAUUCAGUAUGAUGUUGCAUAUGGGUUUGUCAUAUAUGGCUUUUACUACUUUCAGAUGAAGUCUUGCUCUACCAUCCAGGCUGGAGUGAAGUGGCAUGAUCUCAGCUCACUGGAAUGUCCACCUCCUAGGUUCAAGUGAUUCUCCUGCCUCAGCCUCCCAAGUGGCUGGGAUUACAGGAUUUUUCAUGGGCCGAUCUGCUGAAUUCAGCCUAGGAGCUGAGACCAACAUCUGAGUCUCUUCAGCACACAAGUUUGAAAGAAGUCCUAGCAACUUCAAGCUCAGAACUACGGGUGGCAGCAGCUCCCUCUUGACGUCGAAGCCUCCCAUUCCAGAGAGAGUCAAGGCCUGGAUCAAACAAAGCCCACAAGCACCGAUGACUGAGCUGCUGACUACCCCCAGCAUCUCCAACUCAACCUCCUCUUUCUGCCUCUACCCAAAUUUUAAAACUUUCAAACAUGGGUUUAAAAAUGGUAAUGAGUAAAGUUGCAUCCAAGUGUAUCAAAUAAAACUAAAUAUC
rnacentral:lncRNA from 1 species